ACUUCGUUCGAAAAAAAUACAGAUUUAAAAUAGAUAAGUAUUGAUGAUUGAUGACAUAUGUUACAGUAGAAGCAAUGAUUCCAACUCGUGAAUUAUUCUACAAAUUUCUGGAAACUGUCCGCAAUGCAAUGAGCAAACUAUUUUGUCAUUGAUAAUUCUCAGAACUUUUUCAAGCCGUCUCUGGCGCUCACACCAAGGUGCAUAAGAGAGGCGAUGAGUCAAUAGCCUGGUAAUGACGUAAUUGACUUUAGUGUCAUUACUGGCUGCAAGGUAAAUAGAGAGUGUGAUCAUUUCCUAUCGUACCUAUAAAUAAAUUGGUAUCUAAAGAACGAGACGCCGUCAUUAUCAUUACCUAAUCGCUUCAUGCUUAUCAGAGCAAAUGUUGAAUCAUUUCUUAAUGAACUCCACUAAUGCUUUGAGUUUCUUGACAAAGUUUAACAAUAUUGACUCAUACUUAAACGUAGUCGUUAAAUCUUAUCUAAUGUCAAGGUUAAACAGACCUUAAGUAAGCUCAUGUCAUAGUAGACAUAUUUUCACCAAUUAUUCCAUUUUUGGAACUUUUAUUACAUGCAGUAACACUAAAUAUCUCUUGUUCUUAUUUGAACUCAAAAGCGUAGGAAACAUAUUGUACUCGUAGCUUUAAUUUCUGACACACUUUAGCUGGUGUCACUGCACGUGACUAAUUAAAAUAAUCAUCAAAACUAUAAAAUAGAAACAUAUCUGCUGUGAAACACUGAAAUGAAGUUGAGUAGGAAACAUAAAGUAUAUUUAUCUUUGCAAAGGCGAACUCCAUGGGCAGUUCAGUCAGUAUGUAAACAUUACUUGCAUAUCGUAUCGAUAUCGGUAAUGACAUGACUAACUAAUUAAAACAAGUGACUAACGAUCCUUUCGCUAUGUCUGCACUGCAAUGUAUAUAUGCUUGUUAUUGUGCCUAGCAGCUAGUAUGGUAGUUAUAAGUAGGUAUGUGAUGUGAUGAUGGCACAUUGUGUGCGUCGCUUAUCGGCGGGCAGGAAGUGGCUGGGUUUAUUAUUCGUGUCGCGCAUCAUGUGGCUGCGUGCGCGCACGCAGCCGUCCGCGCUCCAGGAUAAUUGCCCGUUUCUCCAGAUACGAAUACGACACUAACGGGAACCCUGAUAUAAUCUCUAAUUAACAGCGAAUCAUACUUGUAUACGUCAACUUACUGUAAAUAGAGUAGUAGUAGCUAUCUAAUCGUAAAUAUCUAACGGUGCGGCUACAAACCUGGAGCAAGGAAAUUGAGUAACAGAUAGGCAGGAGAAAUGAUUGUCGAGUUUAUUGUUUUAUUAGGAGUGUGCGUGCGCCGGCGCGCGAACCGGCCUCCUCCGGGAACAGGUUUGACUGCAGGGUGCAACCGCGGGUCAACAACUCACCUUACUGAUCCAAACACGUAGGCUGAUCGGCAAAAAUCCGACGCCUACUCACAUACUUUCUGAUUAGCAUCAUGAAAGGUUGAACCUUGUCUAAAGAAAAGAUUCAUGUAAGGCAGAUGUUCGAGUGUUCAUCACUAUCACUUAAGUCAUUGUCAAUAGAAGUGACUCAAGUAACAUCAGGGUAUCAUCUAUUGGAAAUUAGCAUGUCGAGCACUAGAACGUCUAUAGGUACGGUCACAAAUUUUAUUGUUGUUCAAGCUAAUUUGGUGUUAAUGCUAACGGUAUAACAUGUCCAAUGUAAAGUAAACCCUAACUGGCUCAAAAAUUAAAGUCCUUAUCAUUUAAUAUUUCGCUAAAUACAAAGGAAGUGGCCUCAAUGCAUUAUUAAUAAAUUAUAGUUUAAUUAGUUGACUGACAAUACGUACAAUACAAUCUCGUUUCCCUUUACAGUUUACUGAUAAACAUGAAUAAGCAUUAAGUAUCAGUACUAUCAGUGCAGCUCACUGCGUCGAGUUACUAACGAUGAUUCACUUGGCUGUACGAUUGUGACAUUUUAAUUAGUUAACCAGGUACCUACAUAUUAUAAUCCAUAUAUUUAUAUUGAUAUAGGUGUAUCUAUUUACCAAUAAUCAUGUAAAUAAUAGUUACUUCAAGUUAUUCACCCAACAAUUUCUUACUCCAACCCGCUAAACGUAAACUAGAUAGUUUACCGAGCCAUCUGGACCCUGCUCUGCAUCCAGCCGGUUGAGAUACUUGUUUAAUUUUAGUAUUUCUCGGAACAGAAUAAUGGCACUUCGAUUAUAACCAGUCGAGUGUUUAAAAACAUCUUUGAAAACGAGACAUUGCAUUUGCACUUAGCGAGGAUGCAAAGUGAGAAAAAGGUAAAAAUAAAUAAGUAGAUGAUACUUAAAGCAGUUAGCCGGCCGCAGGGAAGCGCCCGCGUCGGGCCUGACGGACAAUGUUGAAGACCUAAGCACAGAUAGAACUGCCGCCCGAACUUGACGAUUGACAUUUGGAUCAGACAGUUGCCCUGACGAUGGCAUCUAGCGACCAUUAUUAUAUUUCGAGACAGAAAUGCACCUACAGGUAAGCUCCAGACUCAAUCGGCUAUUGUGUAAACAUGUUCUGACCGCAUCUUGAGAAUCGUACGUCGCUCUUCGAUAAUGAAGAUGCAUGGUGCGAAAUGUUGUUUCGUGGGCUGUUUCGAACUCCUGGCUUAGAAGGUGCCGAUUAUAUGCUUAGCAGUGGAAUACCUUGGGCAUCAUCAUCAUCAGAUGAUGGCGAAAUAUGAGACGUUGAGAUGAAUGAUUUAUUUAUAAUACCCUCUAACUGUGGUGUACAAUAUUCUUGUUAUUAAAGCACUUAGCCGUGUAACCUUUAAAGUCGACCACACCCUCCCCCUAGUAUGUGAACCCCUCGUCGAGUAUGAAUCAAGCAAGUUUUAUGACGUAGCCAUAUUAUACCUACACGCCACAAUAAGUAGAUGCGGUUAUGCACGUGUUAUGACUGUGCCAAAUUUCACACAAAUACAUAGGUAAUUAGAAUUGGCAGUACUAACUACCAACUAGAAGAGUAGCAGAUAAAAAAGGCCGUGACAUACAAACCUAUAGAACUACUCGGAUAGUCAUCUCUCAUUUGCGUUUUUAUUAGCAUUUCGCCAUUAGUGUACAUAUACGUAUACGACGCCAAGACACCGCUUUUUGUUCAUGAUUAUUUUUAAACUGAAGCCAAGUAGAACAUGCGUACGCCCAAAUUACUCGCGUAAGUAAUAAGAGACGGCUUAAAAUAAGUGACAGAUUGCCUAGUGCCCGAUUAUGAUGUCUGUAGAGACUGUAGAGAGAGCGGAUGGGCCAAUCAGCAUGGUGUGACUCACACACGCGUGUUCACAUGUCAAUGGGUACAUACCUACAUAUGUACAUAAUUGUGCCUGUUGUCACUCUUUCGUAUCUUAUGCAUUAUUAACAUAACAUACAUUUUUUAAUUAUACUUUAGUAUCUACAUUUUGAAAACGUACUCCUUCUCAAAUGAACAUACUGAAAAAUAAAUAAGUAAAUAUAUCUAUAUCUACGUUUGCCUAUAGCAAAUUCUGGCAAAUAUAUAUGUAGCUACUUUCCUGUACCGGUUCUACGACAUAAGCCUGUAGACAUGUAGUUAGGUUGUGUUGAUUCACUUCAAUUAUCAUGCACCUGUGAAAAAUGACAUUGGUGGUGCACUGAACAAGUUAAUCUCUAACCUAGCUUGGCCACGUCCUGCACUUAGCCUAGAACAUUGUACCUAAAUACUGUAGCGAACGCGAAUUAGGCAGCAAACCAUAUUUAUUACUAAAAAUUAGCUGCAGCAGAACGGGCCUAAUUCAAACUGUAAUUCAGAUCGCCACCAAUUUAAAGCAAAUUAAAUAAAUGUGCUCAAUGUUGAGGGGAAUUGAAACUGUAAAUUGAUCUUCAUGUUAUAGGAAGAAACAAAAACCCAUAGAAAAUACUGAUGUUAAUUGGAAGAAGCCGGGCCCAAUCUCCCGAAUUUAAUUAUUUUACAGAGCAGGAAAUAGAGUCAUAUUAUUGUCAGAUUAAGCGUACGAUGAUGCGGUUAACUGCUGGUCUAGGUUAUUCCCAUUACCUAACUACCCAGCGCAAGCACGAAGACACUGACUAACCAGCGUCUGAAACCACUAGAUUUUUUUUUUUUAUACUACGUCGGUGGCAAACAAGCAUACGGCCUGCCUGAUGGUAAGCAGAUACCUGCCUGAUGGUUAUCAACUACGCAGGGCGGACUGACACUGGGUCUCUCAAGCUCACGACUGACGCGCGCUCCGUAAGGGAUCGUAAUAACAGUCCUGUAAAUCAAACGGAACCCACUUCUCUGGGUGUUACGCAAAAUGUUCUUGAAAUCGCUUUCUACGUCGCGUCAAGUCCACGCUGCUGAGCUGUGAUAAGCCUUCUUACGUAAUCAUCGGCUGCAAUGGAUGUACUUAUAUAGGCACUGGUAUACAGGCACUUGCCUGCCAACGACGUCAUUGCGAAUUUAUGGCUCGGAACAUAAAGUCUCGAAAGGCCAAUCGCUGCAAAAAUAUUUGCCAUCCUGCAGAAUUACGUACUUUCGGCCGGUGAUUUUGUAGCACCUAUACGAUAACGUCAGGAAUUCCGUUAAAACAAUUUAGUGUGAUGUUUUUUUAAGGUGAUGGCUCAUAGACUACAAAAAAUAGUAGAUACUAUAACGAAUCGUUAUUUAACAGCAGAAAACGACCGUUGAUCGGGGCCGUGUCUAAAUGGCCCGCUGUUUGUCAGCAUCAUCGCCAUUAUCGCGACGCGAACCUCCAAAUUGCGAGCAAUUAGGUUUUAUACUAGUCGCCAUUUUUUGUCUCUUCGCACCAUACCUUAACUUACCAAAUUCUCUGUCUCACUUGCCUACAUAAUAACUAAAAUUAUGUAGUUUAUCACGCAAGUUUUAACGAACAUUCGUAAAUCCCUAUAAAAUAUUAUCUUAUAAUGAUUGAAGCUGGUUAUCUCUUUCAACGUUCACAACAAUUAACUCUGUUUCUCCUUACUCGUGUUCGAAGUUCAAGUCGUACUCGUACUUAUGUAUCUUCCUUAUUGUUUUGUUUGUUAGUCAUAUAAACAGCAGCCUACCCGGUUGGCGUUGUGCCAUUGCUUCUCCGCCAUACGUGGCCCACAAUAAACAUUAACUAAGCGCGUAGAUACUUGCUCGACGCAUAUUUCAAUACAAUUAACAAGCUGUAGAACUAUACCAGCGAUUUUUUGCCGGCCGCGUGAAGAAGCGAUUUCACUGGGAAACGCGGUAGUGGUACCUUUCGCUCGAUUCGUCGGCGGAUAGAGAACAGUAACAACAGCUGUGCCACUUCCCACUGACCUUUGUUACAAUCCCACUCCAAGAAAGCAGUAGUAAUCUAUCAAGUGAUGCAGGGUUAGGAAAAUCAAUAACAGCCUGCUGUACAUCAAAUUCUUUAAUUACCUAUUGAGUUUUAAAACUUGGUUAACUUGUAUACCUCAGUUGAUAGUGAGCCUGCUUCAGACGUUUCACGGAAUUGAACUUUUAAAAGGAAAUUCUGUCAUAAGUGCUUAUUACAUCCAUCCUUUCCCAUCUCGAUGUCGGUACCGACCUUGGGCCGCGGAGCAAGGAUCGUUUUCAGUUUCACAAAAUAU